rnacentral:rRNA from 1 species
UACGACGGGGGCUAGCGUUGUUCGGAAUUACUGGGCGUAAAGCGCACGUAGGCGGGUAUUUAAGUCAGGGGUGAAAUCCCAGAGCUCAACUCUGGAACUGCCUUUGAUACUGGGUACCUAGAGUAUGGAAGAGGUGAGUGGAAUUCCGAGUGUAGAGGUGAAAUUCGUAGAUAUUCGGAGGAACACCAGUGGCGAAGGCGGCUCACUGGUCCAUUACUGACGCUGAGGUGCGAAAGCGUGGGGAGCAAACAGG